rnacentral:rRNA from 1 species
AACGAACGCUGGCGGCAUGCCUAACACAUGCAAGUCGAACGAGACCUUCGUGUCUAGUGGCGCACGGGUGCGUAACGCGUGGGAACCUGCCCUUAGGUUCGGAAUAACUCCCCGUAAGGGGUGCUAAUACCGGAUAAUGUCUUCGGACCAAAGAUUUAUCGCCUUUGGAUGGGCCCGCGUUGGAUUAGCUAGUUGGUAGGGUAAACGCCUACUAAGGCGACGAUCCAUAGCUGGUCUGAGAGGAUGAUCAGCCACACUGGGACUGAGACACGGCACAGACUCCUACGGGAGGAAGCAGUGGGGAAUAUUGGACAAUGGGAGAAAGACUGAGCAAGCAAUGCCGCGUGAGUGAUGAAGGCCGUAGGGUUGUAAAGCUCUUUUACCAGGGAGGAUAAUGACAGUACAGGGAGAAUAAGCUCCGGCUAACUCAGUG